CAUCUGGCACUGUCUGAUCCUUUAACUGACUGCAUCAUUCUAACAAUGUACUGGUCUACAGUCCUUACCCUGAUCACAAUCUCCUGGACAUGUUGCAGGUCCCAGCCCAGCCUUUCUCAGCCUUCCACAGAGUCUGUGUCUCUGGGACAAACAGCCAAACUGCCCUGCACCAUGAGUGGGGGCAGCAUCAGUAGCUACUAUGUGUUCUGGUACCAGCAGCGACCUGGGACUGCACCACGAUACCUUCUGAACUACUACUCUGAUUCUAACAAAGGCCAAGGUACUGGGGUCCCUGCUCGGUUCUCUGGAUCUAAAGACAAUUCUCAGAACAUCUGUUAUUUAACUAUCUCUGGUGUCCAGGCAGAGGAUGAAGCAGAUUAUUACUGUGCUACAUGGGAUGGUAACUCAUACACAGUGAUACAGCUAUAG